rnacentral:lncRNA from 1 species
ACCUGAAACGUAAGGGUAGUAAGCGGCUCCCCAUGUUGCAAACUAGUCUUCGAUCUUGGCACUGAUGCGUGAAGCAAACAAGCUAACGAUUGCCACAUGUUCUCGCUCAGCGAGUCACCAACAAACAUCACCUUCUUCCCUCUCCAUUUGUUCAACAAAUCCAACCCAGUGUGAACCUGGGUAAGUUGCAAGAAUCAGGUUUCCAAGAAUACUUGAGAUACUGGGUGUCUUUGCGGCCAUGUUUUUGACAAUCGUACCCGGGAUCAAUGUAGGGGCAGCUAGAAGCUGCAUAGAGUGGGUAUGAAUUGUCAACAACCCAUCUUCCCUUGAACAAAUCACACCCUAAUAAUUCUCUACCCCUUGUUGAAAAACUACUACUUAUAUUAUUGGAUGAUGAGAAAGGUACUUGUGUUUUGGCCAAAGUGACAGCCAAAAACAGUUGCACUUGAAGAAGAAUGAUGACACCAGUCAACAAAAGGCAGCUCCUAUGGUAACCAAAAUCCAUAUCUU